GACGAACGCUGGCGGCGCGCCUAACACAUGCAAGUCGAACGAGCGAGAGAGAGCUUGCUUUCUCGAGCGAGUGGCGAACGGGUGAGUAACGCGUGAGGAACCUGCCUCAAAGAGGGGGACAACAGUUGGAAACGACUGCUAAUACCGCAUAAGCCCACGACCCGGCAUCGGGUAGAGGGAAAAGGAGCAAUCCGCUUUGAGAUGGCCUCGCGUCCGAUUAGCUGGUUGGUGAGGUAACGGCCCACCAAGGCAACGAUCGGUAGCCGGACUGAGAGGUUGAACGGCCACAUUGGGACUGAGACACGGCCCAGACUCCUACGGGAGGCAGCAGUGGGGAAUAUUGCACAAUGGGGGAAACCCUGAUGCAGCGACGCCGCGUGGAGGAAGAAGGUCUUCGGAUUGUAAACUCCUGUUGUUGAGGAAGAUAAUGACGGUACUCAACAAGAAAGUGACGGCUAACUACGUGCCAGCAGCCGCGGUAAAACGUAGGUCACAAGCGUUGUCCGGAAUUACUGGGUGUAAAGGGAGCGCAGGCGGGAAGACAAGUUGGAAGUGAAAUCCAUGGGCUCAACCCAUGAACUGCUUUCAAAACUGUUUUUCUUGAGUAGUGCAGAGGUAGGCGGAAUUCCCCGGUGUAGCGGUGGAAUGCGUAGAUAUCGGGAGGAUCACCAGUGGCGAAGGCGGCCUACUGGGCACCAACUGACGCUGAGGCUCGAAAGUGUGGGUAGCAAACAGGAUUAGAUACCCUGGUAGUCCACACUGUAAACGAUGAUUACUAGGUGUUGGAGGAUUGACCCCUUCAGUGCCGCAGUUAACACAAUAAGUAAUCCACCUGGGGAGUACGACCGCAAGGUUGAAACUCAAAGGAAUUGACGGGGGCCCGCACAAGCAGUGGAGUAUGUGGUUUAAUUCGACGCAACGCGAAGAACCUUACCAAGUCUUGACAUCCCUUGACGAUGCUGGAAACAGUAUUUCUCUUCGGAGCAAGGAGACAGGUGGUGCAUGGUUGUCGUCAGCUCGUAUCGUGAGAUGUUGGGUUAAGUCCCGCAACGAGCGCAACCCUUAUGGUCAGUUACUACGCAAGAGGACUCUGGCCAGACUGCCGUUGACAAAACGGAGGAAGGUGGGGAUGACGUCAAAUCAUCAUGCCCUUUAUGACUUGGGCUACACACGUACUACAAUGGCGUUAAACAAAGAGAAGCAAGACCGCGAGGUGGAGCAAAACUCAGAAACAACGUCCCAGUUCGGACUGCAGGCUGCAACUCGCCUGCACGAAGUCGGAAUUGCUAGUAAUCGCAGAUCAGCAUGCUGCGGUGAAUACGUUCCCGGGCCU
rnacentral:rRNA from 1 species